rnacentral:rRNA from 1 species
GACUACUAGGGUAUCUAAUCCCGUUUGCUCCCCUGGCUUUCGUGCCUCAGUGUCAGUAACUGCCCAGUGACCUGCCUUCGCCGUUGGUAUUCCUCUCGAUAUCUACGCAUUUCACUGCUACACCGAGAAUUCUAGUCACCUCUUCAGUACUCUAGCACGGCAGUAUCGGAUGCAAUUCCGAGGUUGAGCCCCGGGCUUUCACAUCUGACUUACCACGCCACCUACGCACCCUUUACGCCCAGUGAUUCCGAACAACGCUUGAGACCUCUGUAUUACCGCGGCUGCUGGCACAGAGUUAGCCGUCUCUUCCUCUUGUGGUACCAUCAAUCUGCAAGGUUAUUAACCCGGCAGCCUUGUUCUCACAUGACAGGAGUUUACAAUCCGAAGACCUUAUCCUCCACGCGGCGUCGCUCCAUCAGGGUUGCCCCCAUUGUGAAAGAUUCUCGACUGCAGCCCCCCGUAGG